GGCCCCGGCCCCGAGCGGAGCGGGACCGCGACUGCCCCUGGGAGCGGGAACGGUGGCGAGCUCGGAGCUGCGCCGCCCGCUCGGCCCCUCCACSAGAGCCCAGGAGAGACAAAGAGCCUCGUGUCUUCCGUCCGGCCACAGCCGGCGGAGCUCACCCCAGGCUGAACGCAGCGCCCUCUCACCUGGCGCCCGUCGCGGGCCGAGGGGCGGGGGAGAUUCGGGCCGGAGGUGUCGUUGCGGUGCCCUCCUGAUCCCCUUUUCCGCACGGGCACAAACCAGCCCCGUGCUCGGGAUCCGGCACGGACAGAGCACCGCGUGCCCCGGACAGCCACCAUCGGAAAGCCAUCUGGAAGAGCAUCUCUGCACUGCAGUGAAAGGCUGCAGCUCUGGAAAGCUACCAUGUCAAAAAUAAGCAGCGAAUAUUAAGACUGAAUCACCUGAAAACAGAAAGUACUUCUAUCAGCUGAAAGAGGAACCACCAAGAAGGGAUCCGCUCACCACCAAGAGAUGGAAGAGAGAGAAGGAAGGUGAAUGACACUGCCAAGCCUUGGAGUCUUCAGAACUGC